UUUCUUCUUCAUAUCCAUUCUAACACCACACCACCAAUAACAUGAGGGCUAAGGUAACAACAACAUCUUCAACUCUCUCUAUCCCUUAAAAUUGUUGUUGAAAUUGAUAUAUUGUGUGAUUUCUCUAUCUUUUAAAAUUGUUGUUAAAAUUGAUAUAUUGUGUGAUUUGUUUGUUUGUUAUUUGAUUUAUACAACAGUGGAAGAAGAAGCGAAUGAGGAGAUUGAAGAGGAAGCGUCGAAAGAUGAGACAGAGAUCCAAGUAGAUUGAUCGAAAUCAAAGUUUUAUGUUUUUGUUUUUGUUUUAGAUCGGCUUAGGUAUCGGUAGAUAUAUGUAUCGGUAUCGGAGUUUUCUUUUUAGCUCGGAAACGAUUUCACCUUCGGUUGAUGAGUCGGAAUAGCUACCAAAAUAGUGGUUUUAUGUUUAUCGUAAUUUGUAUCGGAUUUUAUGGUUUUUUCGUAAUAUCGGAAGAAUCGGAUUAGUAGCUUAUGGUUAUUUGGCUUAAUGUUUGAUUUGAUUAAUUAGUUUGAUUUAGUUUUUAACUUUUUAUUAAAUAGAGAAGAUAGCAUGGCCUGAGAUUAAGAUUAGUUUCAUAAUUCCUUUAUUCAUGAUUUGCCCCUUGUAUGCGGUUUUUAUUUAAGCAAUUUUUAUCACUAGAAUUAGUCAUGCUUUCACACUAAAAACCUUCACAUGAUAGUUGCCUAUAGUUUUUAUCUGCUUGUAAAGUUGUAUGCCAUGGUCUAUUAUGGAUUGAAUGGUCUAAAAGUUUGAAGCAUGUUUCAAACUUCUGAUGUACUUAGUCCGAUAUGGUCAUGGGAAUAUAGGAAUGUUAUGGUAGUUCUUGUUGUUUCCGGCUUGCUUGUUAAAUGUUGGUUUAUUGCAUUUUGUUGUUGUUGUAGAAGACACAAUAUUGUAGUGCCUGUUUAGGCUGUAUCAUAAUGCAGGCAUACAUUAUCUGAGCCUUUCUGCAAGCCUUACUCUUUGCCAUCAUAGAGUUUGUAUUUUAUGUUUCCUGUUAGGUUUGAGGCACAUUCGCUGAUAACACCUUGAGUUGGCAUACUGCCCUACCAUGUCAAGGUUUGGAAAUAAAGAAAACCUUUAAGCAUGUUUUUGUUUCUAAAUGUUGCAUUGUACCGUUUUUGUAUAGAGGAGUAAGGAGGUGCAGUUUUUACUUCACCGAUGUGCCUAUUCUUACUCCGGGAGUACUGUUAAUUUCUAUUACUUGUGAUGCUGGCAAACAUGCCUUGUUAGUUGUUACAAUGGAUUGGAUCCAUCUGUGAUUAAAUGUGAUUUGUUAAGCUAUGGAUGGGCAGAAUUGGUUGUCAUUUGGUUUGCUAAAAUGCUAAGUACUGUACUUUAAACAGUUCCUAAGAGCAAUCCCAAUGGGAGGGCAGUUUGGUGCCCUCCACGUAGGUGUAGGUUUGGGGAUGACUCUAGUUAUUAGGUGGUAAACAUUUGUAUUUUUGCAACCCAACCAACCCAACAAAGCAGGGCCUAUAGCAACUUAGAGCAUUCCCAAUGGAGGGUGGAUAAAUCCACCUCUACGUAGGUGCCACGUAGGUCCACCUAGGCAAAAUCCACCUCAAAGAGAGAGGUGUAUUUGCACUUGGGUGGUAGUUUCCCAACGCAGAGUGGACUCUUUGGUAUAGAAAGUGGAUUUUUUUAAAAAUCCGGACGGCAUGUCACAUGUCGUCCCAUUUUUUUUUGCAAAAAAAUAGGGAGACGGCAUGUCACAUGCCGUCCGAGAGUCCAAAAUUUUAAAACACUACUUAAAACUUAAAAAAACAAACGGAUGCCGUCCGAGAGUCCAAAAAUUUUAAAACACUACUUAAAACUUAAAAAAACAAACGGACGGCAUGUAAGGAUUUAUCCACCUUCAAAUCCACCUUCAAAUCCACCUUCAAAUCCACCUUCAAAUCCACCUGUGGGCAGCCCACCUCCGAAAUCCACCUCCCCUUGGGAAGCUCUUUUUGUCUACAAGGUGGAUUUAUCCACCCCACCUCCAAAAUCCACCUUGCAUUGGGAAUGCUCUUAUGUGUUUCAUUUUGAUGAAUAGGUCUAAUAACAGUUGGGUUUUUAUACUUUUUAUGUUUCUCUAGCCAGUCUUAUUCGCAGUCUUAAGUGGCCAUUGUCUUGUGUGCCAGAGUAGCACACUGCGUGAAUAACCUUGAGAUGAUAGUGGGAGCAUAUGCACUGGGGUACAACAGUAAAUCUUUUUAUUUGAAUGCACAAUGUAGCUUAGGACACAAUCAACUCACUUUAUGUCUCUAUCCAUAGUCGUGCAAUUGUGUAUACGGAAUAAUUCUAUGCUUACAAACUUUUUUCACAAACUACCUCCACAAACUGAUGGGGAUUCAACCGAUAAAUAAAUCAGAAUUUUCUUAUGUACUCUUUUUUAGUUCUUUCCAUGAAACCGAAACUCUUUUGCAAGCAUCUCUCUUCUCUCUUUUUUUUUUUUUUUUUUUUUGUUAUUUUUUUAAUUAUAAUUAAUAAACUCAACGAAUUACACAAAAGUAGAGGACAAACGCGCUACAAACUGCGCGGAAAGUCCAUUCUGGAUAGCAAACUCGAUUCUCCUAAAUACAUAUUCGUUCAAACCUGCAGUCAUCACGUUACUUUUUUUUUGUGUGGAGUUAUUUUAUUUCUCACUAGUCCAGAAUUUGAAAAUAAAUAUCUUAUUAAUCCCAUAAUCAAUUUUAUACGAUAUUAUUAAAUCUUUCAUUGGUAUAAUAAAGGAAGAAGAUGAUUUUAUCUCGAAAACUUGUGAUAAAAGGAAAGAACAAUGGGUGCUUAGGGGUAAUUUACCUCUUUAAUUAUUUCAUUAACUCUACCCUAACUGGUGCUUAGGGGUAAUUUAUAAAUCUCACUAAUAAAUUUUUUUUAUUCUUCACACAAUUAGGAAAAUCCUUUUGAUUUUGAUUCAUUCCUAAAACAAUAUUCAUAUUAACAACCAAUUUUUUUUUUCAAUUUCCUCUAGUUUUACUACUAUUUAUAUCUAAAAUUUUAAAAAUAUUGACAAUGAUUAUUCAAUUAUUCAUUAAAAUAAAAAAUUGACAGAAGAUUGAUCAUGUUUAUUUUGCAAGAGUUCCCAUUCCUGAUGCACAAUGAUUUUCGAGUCUAUACUGUUAUAAUCUUAUGAGUUCCUUAUAUAGUGGGGAAAAAAAAAGAAUGAGACAGAGUAAGAAUCAAAACAUAACUUGUUAGAUAUUUUGUAUAUUCUUUAUUUUCUUAUUUGUAGGUGGAUAUACAAAUUUGUAAAGAUAUUAAUUAAUUAUUGAUAACAACUGUAUUUAUAUAUGUAUGGUUAUUGAGGAUAAUUAAGUAAACUUUGAAAAUAAUCAUUGGCAAGAUCAAUUUUGCUCUUGGCAAAAUCUGGAACCUUAAUAUUAGACAAACUACUAAACAAAAGAUUUUUGAAAAUUUGAAGAAGAGAAUGCAUGUAAUAUAUAUUAGAAUUUACAGUUUUAGUUUGCUAUAAUUUGAGUAAGAGUGAAAGCUUGGGUGAGAGAGAGAGAGGGAAAAAAAGUGUGUUUUUUUUUUUUGUGAUGAGAUCUGACGCAAAAUUUUUAAUUACGUGGACAAACCACCUCAGUUGACACGUUUGUUUGUAGAAGAAGUUCGUGGGGUUUCUUAGUGAGAGCAUUCCCAAUGGUAAAAGGCUUUUAGGGGUGCCACAUAAGAGAGAGGGAGAAGGUUUUUAGGAUAGACUUGAUAUUAAAAGUAAUUUAUGGUUUUAGAGUUGCCAAUGGUUGAGUGUUAAAAGCUUAAAAUUUCACUUUCCCAAAGACAUGAUGGCUGUGCUUGUUUCCCCGGAAGUUAUGGGGAAACGAAAACGGAAAGAUUUUAAAUUUUAAGAAAGGUAACAAAUUUUCAAAACUUUCCAUUUAUAACCAGGAUUGUUGCUUGAUUACCAGAUCAAUAAAAAAGGAAAAAAAAGACGUGGCGAGAUUAUAAGCUUUGGGGACCGGUGGGGACCAUAAAUUAGAGACGUGAUUUUCUGUUUUGCAUAGAUUUCCUGGUUUAUCAAAACUGCAAUUUUUGCUGACGUGUUUUACAUUUUAAAAACCUUUUUACAGUGGGACCCAUAUCAACUGAAAUCACCAAGCACCUGGAAAAACAAAAAAUCAGCAAAUCGCUGACGUGGUUUUCCAUUCCAGUUUUUUUCCUAGAGAACAAGCACGGCCGAUGUAUAAAAUUUAACUUUGAAUUAACUAACUAAUCCUAUGUGGCACUUUUAACUCUCGGCAAAUUUGCCAAGGAGUUAAAAGUAUUUUGUUUGAAAAAUGUGUUAAUAUCAACCAUUGGCAAAAGUUUUUUACUAAAAGUUCUUAAAAGGAAUUUAAAACCUACCGUUGGGAAUGCUCUGAGUGUAGAAUUACUCAAUAUUGAGCGAGUAUGCAAGGAUAACACGUGUUGUUUUUGAAAGUCACAGUGGAUUGUUUGAUGCUUAGAUAUCUCUUUUUCGACACCUUAAAUACUCAAGUUGAUUAUUAGAUAUCUCAUUGUUUUGGAAUUCAUCAGUGGUCCUACCUCAAGACGUUCCUUGUUGUAAUAUUGUACUUGAAAAUGAAGCCACGAAGGGAUAUACGUUGUAUAUCUAUUUUCUAUAGUGACUUUGAGACAAAAUUUCCUAAACUUUUUGAAAACUAUCUUUAAUUUUAAAUGUCAGAUUAGAUGAAUGAAAAUGUGCAUAAUUGACCAACGACAUCUUUUUGGUUAUGAAUCUGAGUUUUAUUCCAUAUCAAAUUAAUGACAGGCCCAUAUACACGUCGAACAGAUUCGCAUACACUAAUUUACAUUGAUAAGGUGUCUUUUUUAUUAAAAAAUUAUUUUCUAUUCCAUCUCUUUGUAAUACAUUGAUCUUAUUGUUUAUUGUUUGGUAAUUUGUUUUUUCAGUAUUUUGAGUAUAGAGGAGUUACCUUAAUCUACUACCUUUGGAGUAGCUCGGCCCCGCUGAGGGGUUGGGCCACGUCUGCACCCUGCUAGUUCAGAUGCAAGCCUUUAUUUCAAAGGUUGUCUUUGCAUUCUUCUUUUUUGAACUGGCAGGAGUGCAGGUGUUGAAACCCGGGUUUGACUGAAUUGGAAAAUUAUCCUUCUGAAUCUUCCUGCUCCAUUUUGUCAAUCCCGGUUGAGUGGAUGUGUCUUUCAUCCACAUGGUUCUUGCAUUUGAAUUGCUUGGCCAAGCUCUUUGACAGAGCCUGAUGAUAACGAAAAAAAUGAAAAGACUUGCCUUGACUUGGAAGUAUUGCCGUGGUUGUAAUUAAGGUAUGUGCCAAAGUUUUCAUAGCCUCUUUUUGCAUUACCUUCUUUUGUUAUCAGUUUUGGUUUUAAUCGCAAGCAUGUUGAUGGAUUUGAUGCUAUUCAUUUUCAGUGACUAGGUACUGCUUAGUCUCUCUGACGCUGCACAUGGACAUUAUACAACUAAUGGAGAUUCGUGCACUUUGAGCUUUGGUGCCUUGGUGGAAUACGUGUUACUACCAGAUCUUUGAGCUUUAAGAUGAAUACUUGAUUGCUAUUGGAAUUUUUGACCUAAAUACAUAUUCCAUGGAAAUUUAUGUGCUGCCUCACCUUUAUAUAUAACUUCCUAGACUCCUAGCAUAAAGAUUUGGAACCUGAAUAGAACAUUGUGUAUUUAUUUGUAUGAUCCCAUCAAUGGCAGCUACUUCAAAAUUGCAGUAUGACUUAGUUCCGUGUUUUUUUUUUCACAAUGUUUUGUUUGCCAAAUUGUUGUCGCAAAUGACAGAACUACUUAAAAGUCGUUGCAAGGUGUCAUUUUGAUUUGAUUAUUUAUUGUUUUUUACAUGGAAAUGGUAGUGGGUUCUUCUGCAGAGUUUGUUGUAGAUGGCUAUAGUAUAAAAUGUGCAGUGGAAGUAUCUGUUGUGCGUAGUGGAAACUUAAACACAACUAAUGAUGAUUGAACUAGUGUAUGAAAUAAAAUAAAACGAUAAAAUCAAACGAACAACCACACAGGACACAAGAUUUACAUGGUUCGGCAAUAUGUCUAUAUCCAUGGGGAGAAAGGAUAAUGUUUUUCUUAUAAAGAUAAGAGCUAAUUAGUGAUACCCCCCGGAAUUCAAGGCAAAAAAAGGAACCCCCCCCCCCCCCCCCCCCCCCCAACUCCAAAAAGAUUUGUGUUACCCCCCCCAAAUUAUUUUCUGGUGAAAAAUAGACUUGAACUGCCAUAAAUACCCUUAUGCCACAUCAGACUUUUAAUUUGACCUAAACCAUUGCUGACGUGGCAUAGAUAAGAUAUUAUGGGCUGGGUUUAGAUAUGGUAUAGAUAAGAUAUUAUGGGCUGGGUUUACGCACAGACCCCUGUGCGUGCAUAUUCACAUAGUACAGAUUAAGUGGACAAGGGCCAAGUGAAGCAAUGGGUUAGCUAAAAGGUGAACAAAAAUGAAGAAAGUAUGCACUAGUCGGGGAUUUCGGGCAACUCUUUUUGUUAUUAGUAUUCCAGGUAUACAGAGAACCUGAAAUUAUGGUAGGUGAGUGUGUCAGUGGUGCAUGACUCUGCUAUGUCAAAAUAGAAACCCAUAGGCACGACUGAUAAGUUCCUAAAAACAAAUACUAAAACAACCCAUAAGUAAUAAUAAGUAAAAAACACACGAUAUUUUUAAAGUAGUAAAAUCCAAUAUGGGAAACGUUCAUGGUUGUUCUCGCGAUAAAAAAUAAUUCUACUAGAUGAAAAAGAUAUACAAACUAGGGAUGAGCACGGUUUGGUCGGUUUUGACCAAAACCGAAGCCAAACAGCCUAACAGGUGUUUUGGAAUAAACACAAUCGAAAUCAAACGUGUUGUUUCCCAAAAUCGAACCGAACCGAUCAAAAUAUGUAAAAACCGAAACCGAACCGAACACGUAGUUCAGUUCGGUUAACCGAAUCAAAACCGAACACCUUUUAAGUUGGGCUGAAUUAACUUGGGCUUAAGUAUAAAGACUAACAUGGGCUGAAUUAACUUGGGCUAAAGUGCUAAACUAAAGACUAAUAUGUUUGGUUCGGUUUUAGGUGUUGAAAAUUUUCUAAAACCGCAACCAAACACCCUAACAGGUGUUUUGUAAAAUUUCAAACACCAGCCAAACACUUAAACACCUAAACACCUUCAAAAGUGUUCAGUUCGGUUGUGUUCGGUUCGGUUCUUCGGUUUUGGUCUGGUUUUGUUUAGCCUUAGUACAAACCUAUCAACUACCUGCAAUCACUGUGAAUUGACACUACUUGUUAUCUCUAACACCUUGACUUCACUAGAGUACCUUGAUGUAAGCACAAGACACUCGACUUCUUGAUGAACACACAAGAAGACUCGAAGCCGAACUAUGAAUAAGUUUACACCAGAGUUCCUUGAUGAACACACAAGGAUACUCGACUUCUUGAUGAACACAGAAGAAGACUCGAAGAUAAAUCACUAUAAAAAAAUAAAGAAAGAUGAAUUGGGGAAGGAUAAAAAAUAGAAUUACACAAGGAUCGAUUGAGGAAGAAGAUGAUCUUUGUGGAAGAGCCGACAAACAAAUUAGGGUUCUAUGGAGGCUAGGUUGGAACUCUUACUUUUCCCAUAACACCAAUGCCAUAUUUAUAAUCUAGGGUAUGUACGUACCUCCUAACAUGGUACGUACAUUCCUGAACAAACUGCAACCUAACAUAGCUUAGAAGGAUGAGAAUGAAGACAUAGGGACGACGCUUACACAUCAAGGUACUUCCUAAUAAUGUCGUCAAGGUGAGAUAAUUCCAGAUACUCCUAACCUAAUCACAAAAUGAUGUCAAACAACCGAAUGUCGGUUUCAUGAACUUGAACUCAGACUUCUACUAGUAUGUCCUAGCCUCCUAGUGAUACCUCAAUGACUGAAUACAUGUAAAAAAUAACUUUGCACUCAAGUUUUGAAGAAAGAAAGUACAUAAAGAUUGAUAUUGUAAGUACCAAACCAUGCUAGGUGGAGUAUUGAGGACACAGGAGCUAGAUAAGGAGAGCAAACUGGGAAGUACCCAAUCGGAGUUCAGAACAUUCUAGAGUAUCACGGAUAAAGCACGUGAUGUCUGGCUGUAAAGCAUUCACUGUAUAGUAUGUGAUGGAGAAUGAAACACGUAGGAGAUAAUAGAACCAUAGGAUGCAAAGGAGGAUCCAACGGUUCAAGGAAGGCGGUGAAUAUUGCUAUAAAAGGAUCACGUUAGGGUUCGCUAAAAGGUAACUGUUCAUUCUUUGCUAAAAACCUAUUCUCUAAACCUAGCCGCUUACUGACUUGAUCGUUGGAGCUUUAUCCACCGGUCAUUGUCCGGUGGUCAUUGCAGGUACUACCGUUGAAGCAGUUGAAGGACCCAGCUGAGCUCAUCAAGGAAAGUGGGCUUACAUUUGGCGCUAGAAGAAGGGCCACUUUGCUGCUUCCAGAUCUAGGGUUUUGGAGAAGAAGGUUGAAAGAAGAAAGUAGAGAGCAAUGGUAACACAAACUAGAUCGUCGACAUAUCUCGGAGGUGUAGCAGCUGGAGAUGUUCCGCAAGUUGUUCAUCCUCAAAAUCUCCAAGAUGGAGACGAAGAUACAAACAGAUUGAGAGAAGAGAACUUGAGACUGAGGGAGCAGAUAAGAAGGAUGGAAGAUAUGGAUCGUCAAAAUCUUCAGGAAGGAGAGAACGAAGCAGUCAGAAAUGAAAACCAUCAGAGACCAUUGGAGAGGGUAAUACUAGGAGAAGGUGAAGGAGGAACAAGGCGUCGGAUUCCGGGCCUAAGAGUGAAUGAAGAAGAAGGGUCAGGAGAAUCAGGGGUAAGAGCUCGCGAAGGGAGUCGAAGGGAAGGGAUGAAUGAUGAAGAGAUCCCGGCGGCAGAUCAAUACACCAGACUUUUCGAUAUGAUAUGCAAGGUCCAAGAGGACAUGAGGGCGCAGAACAAGGGAAAGAACAUGGAGGUGACUCAGGAUCUGGAGAGAUUGGGCAAGAGGCCAUUAGCCGAAGUGUGCUACCGUCACGGGUUCCCAAGUAAGUUUCAACCUCCUAAGUUUAAUGAGUAUGAUGGAACAACUGAUCCUGUGCAGCACUUGAAUAAUUUCAAGCAAAAAAUGGCGGCUUGGGAAGGGAGCCAGUAUGACGGAAUGUGGUGUCGACUGUUCCCUAGCAGCUUGAAGGAUAACGCUACAGACUGGUAUCUCAGCUUAUCACCAGGGAGUGUAUCAAGCUUUGCUCAGCUCAGUGAGAUGUUUGUCAAGCAUUAUAUUCAUCAGAAAAGACAGGCUGCAGAUAUAGCGUCACUAUUUGAUUUGGAACAAGCUCCAGGUGAGUCUCUUAGAAAGUUUGUUACUAACUUUAAAAAUGAGAUUUUGAGAACAGAUGGCGGAGUAGAUGAAAGAACAGCUGUGGUAGCAUUUCAGAAGGGUAUAAAUAAGAAGUCUCCUGCAUAUGACUCGAUUGUGUCAUCACGGAUGGCGACUCUGGAUGAACUUUUCCAGAAGACGGAGAAAUACAUCAGACUAGAGGACAUAGCAUCACGGAGAGCUCCAAAAGUGGUACCGGCAUCCGUUAACUCGGUGGCGGAAAAAAGUAAAAAAGGGAGAAGCUAGCUCACGAAGUGAUUCGCCACCAAGAGAUUCCGGCUCUAGGAGGAACAAAGAUGGAUCGAGAGGUCACGACAAAAGAGAAAGGAGGGAGGAUAGAGAUACUUCACCAAGAAAGUUGAUACCACCGAAACCGCUACCGCAACUCACAAUGUCACUAGAUCAAAUUUUGAAGAGAAUAAGAGGAAGAAAGUACUUCCAGGAGCCGUCGGUAAGAUGUAGAACAGUCAGGGGAAAGCCAUUCUGUGAGUAUCAUCAGACUUACAACCACCCUACUGGAGAUUGUUAUGAGUUCAAAUCCUUGAUAUGGAAAUGGAUGGAGGAGGGCCAUUUGAGAGAGUUUAUAGUGGAAAAGAACAAGGAGGAAGACAAAACAGAAAUUCAAGUCAGAGGGACCGUUAACAUGAUCUUAGAAGGAGCUAGAGAAUCCUUGAACGAGGUCAGGAGGAAGAUAAGAAGAGUGAUGCAGAUAAGAGAAGACUUACAAACAGUCGGAGCCGUUCCAGUCAUGCGAAAUGGCAGACCAGUGCAUCAGAGUGAGUCGAUUGGGUUUUCAGAGGAAGACCUCAAAGGAGUAGUCACACCACACAAUGACCCAUUGGUCAUUUCCAUACUCAUUGGAAAUUGGAAUGUCACGAAAGUGUUAGUAGAUUGUGGAAGUGAGGUAGAUGUUCUGUUCACCAGGGGCUUGGAUCAAAUGAAACUGGAGAGAGGUAGCUUGGCAAAUUCACCUGGAGACAUUUACGGAUUCAAUGGGGGAGCAGUGCGGCCAGUUGGAGAGAUAGUCUUACCGGUUACAGCACACACCAGAACCGUCAUGUCGAGAUUUGUGGUCAUAGAUGCUCCAACAGAGUACAAUGCAAUCUUGGGAAGAGAAUGGAUUCAUCUUAUGAAGGCAAUUCCGUCAAGUUACUAUCAGAAGAUCCGUUUUCCGACUGAAGAUGGACAAUAUGAGAUAAGGAGCAAUCAGGCUAUGGCCAAGAAUUUGAAGAUAGCAACAGUAAAAAGUAUGAGGCAUGGCACAGCAGGUGCUGGGCCGUCAUCUAUCCCUGCAUAGCAACGACAGAAGGAGGGUGACGGGUUCCCGCGUGAAGUGCUAAAGACAGAAGAACAAACGGAACCCGUCAACCUCAAUGAGGUAGGGGAUCAGCGGAUCACCUACAUGGGAACCAACUUGGAUGAGAAGGUGAGGUUUGAUCUUUUACAAUUCUUAAAAGAUAAUAUGGAUGUAUUUGCUUGGUCUAUGAAUGAUAUGACAGGGAUCGAUCCAGACGUAGCAUGUCACAGAUUGAAUGUCAAUCCAAGUUUCAAACCAGUCGCGCAGAAAGUGAGAACAAUAAAACCUACACUGGCAGAGGCAAUAAAACAAGAGAUCGAGAAGAUGGAGUCAGCUGGAAUAACAAGAGAAGUUCAGUAUCCAGAGUGGGUAUCUAACAUAGUGGCGGUUCCGAAGAAAAACGGAAAGGUUCGGAUCUGUAUAGACUUCACAAACUUAAACAAAGCAUGUCCAAAAGAUAGAUACGUCAUGCCAAGGGUGGAUGAGCUAGUGGACAGAACAGCAGGCUUUGGGUUACUGUCAUUCAUGGAUGGCUAUUCCGGCUACAAUCAGAUUCCUCUAUAUGGUCCAGAUCAGGAGAAAACGGCCUUCUAUGCUGGUAAGAAAACUUUAUGUUAUACCAAAAUGCCAUUUGGUUUGAAGAAUGCAGGAGCUACUUAUCAGAGGCUGGUAGAGAUGAUGUUCGAAGAUCAGCUGAGGAAGACGGUAGAAGUAUACAUUGAUGAUAUGUUAGUCAAGUCCAAAGAGCCGGAGGAUCAUCUAAAGGACCUGGGAGAAACCUUCCAGACACUGCGUCAGUUCAAUAUGAAGCUUAAUCCAGAAAAAUGCACUUUUGGAGUACAGUCAGGAAAGUUCCUUGGUUACAUUGUUACCAAGAGAGGAAUAGAGGUUAGUCAAGAGCAGAUCAGGGCACUCACGGACAUGGCGUCACCAAGAACACAGAAAGAAGUGCAAGUACUGGCUGGCCGAAUUACGGCAUUGGGAAGAUUCAUAUCAAGAUCCACAGAUAAAUGCAAGCCAAUUUUGAAGCUCUUGAGAAAGAAUUUAUCUUUUGCUUGGAAUGAUGAAUGUGAAGAAGCCUUCCAGAAGUUGAAAGAAUACUUGAGUAGACCACCAGUUCUGUCAAAGCCAUUUCCGGGGGAGACACUCUAUGUUUAUCUAGCAGUGUCGGACAUUGCAGUAAGUGCGGUCUUGACCAGAAGGGAGGCCUCAAAGGAGAGCCCAGUCUAUUUCCUCAGCAAGAAGAUGACUUCACCAGAGACAAGGUAUUCUAGAGUGAAAAAGUAUGCCCUCGCUUUACUAUUUGCAGCUCAAAGAUUAAGACCUUAUUUCGAAGCUUAUAGUCUGACAGUGGUUUCAAACCUCCCUCUCAAUCAAGUGAUGCCAAAAAUCGAGCGUUCUGGAAGAAUGGAAAAAUGGGCAGUUUCAUUGAGUAAAUAUCACAUUCAGUAUGAGCCCAAGAAGGCGGAAAAAUCACAAGUGCUGGCGGAUUUCUUGGCAGAUUUCCCAGUGGAGGAUGUAAUCAAGGGUGCAGAAAUGCAAGAGGAAGAGCAGCUAGAGUAUCUAGAAGUUCAAGAUACCGGGUGGAAAAGCGUCAAAGGAUGGAAGGUGUUCACCGAUGGGUCAGUAAAUAAAGGAAGAUCAGCAAUCGGGAUAGUAGUGGUAACACCAGAGGACACUAAGAUCGAGAUCGCAGAAAAAUUAGCCUUUCCGGCUACCAAUAAUGAGACAGAAUACGAGGCGGUGCUGAAAGGUUUGGAAGUAUUGCUGAAGUUAGAGGUAAAGGAGGUUACGGUUUUCACAGACUCGAAAUUGGUGGUGGAACAGUUCAAUGGAACAUAUAAAGCUCAGACUGGGAAGAUGAUGUUGUACUUGGAGGCAUUGAAGAGGAGUGUAGCAAAGUUCUCGAAAGUUGAUAUUGUACAUCUGUUUAGGGGAGAGAACCGGCAUGCUGAUGCAUUGGCUUACCUGGCAACGGCAACAGAAGAGAAUUCAACCAAGACUAUAACGUUCAUGCAAAGAUCUCAGCCAAUGAUAGAGGUGAAGGAAGUGACUGUCAACCUCAUUCAAAACUUGGGAGCAAGUUGGAUGGACCCAAUAAUAACCCACUUAAAAGGUGGUUCUCUUCCGAAAGACAAAGCAGAAGCUAGAUCGAUUGUGGAGCAAUCCAAAAGGUAUGCAAUGAUAGGGGAAGACCUGUAUAGGCGAUCACCAACUGGACCGUUAUUGAAGUGUGUACACCCAUCCCAAACAGAAGGAGUCAUGGCGGAAUGUCACAAUGGAAGUUGCGGCAGUCACUCACCGGGACGGGCCAUGGCACACAGGAUAAUGAUUCACGGGCAUUACUGGCCAAGUAUGUAUAAAGAUUGUUGCAACUAUGCUAAGAAAUGUCAUGGUUGUCAGAUUCAUGGGAGACUCAUACAUACCCCAGCUGAAAACCUUCACUUUAUAAGCAAUCCGUGGCCCUUUUCGAUGUGGGGAAUUGAUAUUGUGGGAAAACUGGAGAAGUCACAGGGAAGAGAAUAUUUAAUUGUGGCCACAGAUUACUUUACGAAGUGGAUUGAGGCAGAACCUUUACGAAGGAUCAGGGAGGUAGAUGUCAAAGAUUUUAUCUGGACCAACAUCAUCUGCAGGUUUGGCUUACCAAGGGCUAUAGUAGCAGAUAACGGUGCUCAAUUCCGUGGAGAGGAGUUGAAAAAGUUUCUGGCAAGUUAUAACAUAAAGCAACUCUUCGCAACACCAUUUCACCCACAAGGAAAUGGGCAGGCGGAAGCAUCAAACAAGGCCAUACUGGAGGUACUGAAAAAGAAGCUUGAGGAUAAAAAAGAAAAAUGGUAUGAGAAUCUUUGGGAAGUACUAUGGGCAUACCGGACGACUCCAAGAAGGUCCACAGGGGCAACUCCAUUCUCCCUCACUUAUGGGAUGGAAGCUGUGAUACCACAAGAAAUGUUGGUACAUACGGCUAGAAGAAUGGUGGUCGAUCUAGGGAAGAAUAAUGAGAUAAUAGAGAGAGAGCUGGUCUUAGCUGAGGAGGUCCGGGAGCGCGCCAAGCUCAGAUUGGAGGGCUAUCACCGCCAACUAGAGAGGACAUACAACAAAAGAGUCAAGCCAAGAAGCCUAGUUCCAGGGGAUCUCGUGUUAAGAAAACAGAAUCCGCCUCCAGCCAAACUAGAGCCAAACUGGGAAGGGCCUUUUGUGAUAGACAAGGCGGGAGCGAAUGGAGCAUACUACUUAACCUACCAAGACGGUACCCCUCUUGAUAAGCCAUGGAGUAUCAGCAAUCUAAAGAAAUACUAUGCCUAGAGGGCAAAGAUGUAUUAGAGCAACAACAGUAGACAGUAUGUACCUAGAUUUGUUUGAAUUUCAAUGAAAAUAUAAGAUUUUGUUGUUAUUGACUUAUCUAGUUAUAUAUAUAUAGCACUAUUGUCUGAGACCAGGCCAAAGGUCAGACAUAGAAGAAACCCAACUAAGGUUGGUGGGAAAUAACAUAAGUGUAGACUUGGCAGGGCAAGCCGUUAACUAAAUGUUAAAGUCUCUAUAUGAUUAUUUCUUCCCCAUUGAGUUUGAUUUAGACAAUACAGUGGGGUGCCUCUAAAAGAGAAGAGCAAUAGUGCUAGUGUGUUAACGGGGUUGCACUUGCUGAACCGUGACGACGGGAUCAGUAGAAGUAUAGCCUAAUGUUAGCACAUGAGAAACCAAUGCCAGAAGAUAACAAUAAUUGAUAGCAAUUAUAAAAGUUUGCAAUGUUGGAAGACUUUCGUCAAAAUUAAAAAUUAAUCAAAUUACAACUCAAGGCAAGGAGUCUCGGGUGGAAGCGCUAGGAGGCGUUAUCCGCAUUUUCUUGGCAGAAAGAAUAGCGGUUAAGUUUUCCUUCACUUGAGCCUUCACUUGCAUGGCAAGUUGCUCUUUGAAUUUCGCCUCCAUCUCCUCGUAUUUUGAAUUGUAAUCAGCCAGGAGAGUUUCUCUUUGCUCCCGUAGGUCGGCCAGAUACUGCUGAUAGUCAACAUCAUGAGCGGCUUCGAGUUCAUUUAUUUUCACUAAGCUGUCAGCCCAUUUCCCCUCCAACCUUGCUACCACGGUGGCAUGAGCAGCAUCAAGGGCAGCAAUACGCUCACGGUGCUCACCCUCAAGUGCAGCAAUGUGAUUACGGUGCUCACCCUCAAGUGCAGCAACGCGCUCACGGUGUUCACCCUCAAGCCUUUUCCGGUUCUUCUCGAUUUCAGCAUCACGAGACGCGGUUGUUUCUUUCAGUUGAAUCUUAAGUUGCUCGAUCUCGGCUUGAAGAGCCCAUUUCUCGCGAACUAGUCGAUUCUUAUCCACUGUAAUGUCGUGCUUCUCUUUUACAAGAUUUUCUUUUUCCAGCCUAGAAGCAUUUGAAAAAGACUUGACGACGAGACCGUUAACCUACAAUUCAAUAGAAAAGUUAUAGUCCAAAAAAAAAAAAAAAAAAAAAAAAAAAAAGAGAAGAGGGGAGACUUACGAGAGCUAGACCACGGAAAACUGUAUCUCGGUCCUCACCAAAGUUCAUCUGAUCAAUUUUAGCUUGAUCAGAAGGAAAAAUAGAAUUGUAGAUAGCGGCGAAAGCAGUUGCCCCAUUGUCAAAAGCCGAAGCUGAGGGAUCACGGGGAAGGGGAACGGCUGGAGUCUGGCUUGGAGACUGGGGGGAGGGAGAAUCAGCAAGUACUUUACCGCGAGAAGAGGAGCCAACCUUGUUAGGGUCAAAGGCUGGUACAGACUCUGAAGACGAAAAAGGACCUUGGGAAGUAACACCGGCAGGAGGUGUAGAAGUCUUGUCAGCAGUUGGUGCCGGAUUAAUCUCAGCAUCAAGGGUGGGAGAGAAUUGCUGGCCAUCUGCGGCUUGGUCACCUGAUCCAGAUGAAGAAUAAUUAAGAGUACGAUGGCGGGUAUACCUAGGUGCUUCACGAAUAGGUGCAACAAGUGUAGCAACAUCAAAAAUUUCGUGAUCAACAGGAAGUGGUGGAGGCAUCGCACCAAUAAUAGGGGGCUCAUUUGGAUCAAGGAGAGCCAUGGAAAAUUCCUUAAGGGGAGAAGAUGAAGGAUGAGAAGUUGAACCUGGUUGGGCGAGAUUGUCCAUGCCGGUGUCUUCAAAUAGGAGACCACCAUCAAACCCAAGUUCAUCAAGAUUAAAGGAAACCUUGAUUCCACUAAAGUUUGGUUGUCUGGGUUCUUCCAGAGAGUCGCUGGAGGAAGAAGAAGGGGAUCCCGGUAGUUGAGAAGGAGCUUCUGCCAUUUUGGCCCUUUUCACUCUAGGAAUGGAAGGACCGUGUUGCUUUGAACGCGCCAGGUGAACUUCGGGAGAUUCCGGCAAUGUCUCUGGUUCACCUUGGACUGCCUGAAAAUCAGAACUUUCAGUUGAAGAAGAAGAAAGAUCACGACUACAAUUCCUGACAAUCUUUUGAACUCGAAGAGCAGAUAAGAAAGGGGGAAGUCGGGCAGUUACUCUUUUUUGCUUCUUCUUCUUGGAUGGCGCUGAAACUGCGGAAGGAGGUUCACGGGUUCUCUUUUUAGUUAGGAUCGUCUGAAGAGGGAUAUUAUCUCCACCGUCAUCAGAUUCUCUCUCCAACUCAGUAGCGGCAGCAGCAGAAGCUUUACCCUUCCUUUGUGUUGAUCGGGAAGUAGGAGGAAUAGCAGAAGACCUGCCCUUUUUAUCCCUGAGAUAAUCUUUGUGGCAGCAGACGGGUAAGACGUAUUCCCCUAGAUCAAGAUCCUUAACGAUCGGGGUACCGUCUUUCUUUGAGGAAGUAAGCUCACGAAUGGCGGAAUAAGCGUCAGCUCCAGAUCCUAUCAAAGGUUCCCAAGGGGCGUCUUUGCGGGGUCUUAAGGCUUUGCCGUCACCGCGAACCUCUGGGAUAGAAAACAGAUAAAAGAGUUAGACAGGCACUAUCAAAAGGAUUUUCAUCCUAGGAAUGUUAAUAUAUGAACAAAGUAGAAAAAGUGAGGAAAAAACCUCCUAGAUUAAACCGCCAGUAUUUUAAAGGGUUAGAAAUGCCAGGUCCUUUUCCCCCGAAGUUACCAAAGACAAUCAUAGGAAAGUCAGGCCAUUCCUUGUCACUUUCCGGCAAUUUUUCAAUAAUAGACCGCCUACCGGGGCGUUUGACGAAAUAGUAAUAAGGUUGACCACAUUUUUCUUCGCAAACCCGAAGAUAGUAACAUUGACGUAUAUCAGCAAGGGAAACGGUAGUUCCUUCAUUGUUUAGUUGGUCUAGGGCCCGCAAGAUACGCCAAAAGUUACCAAUACAUUGUCCAGGGGCGACUUGGUAAAAAUUAAGUACAUCACGGACUAAAUCAGAAAAAGGAAACGGGCAACCAAAAGCUAUUUGGUGGGCUGUCACCAUAAUAGCAUCUUGGCGGCUAAAUUCGUGAUGUGCAAAGCGUAGGGCAUGUUUGUAGUUGAAAAUUUUUACAUCUUCAGGAAUGUCGUAUAGUUCACAGAGUAGAUCUAAAUCAGGUCUAUAAGGGUAGGUACUGGGCACAUACGAAUCAAGGUAGUAACUGGAAGGGGAAGGGUGAACACCGCCAUCACCUUGACCUCCUUCAACUGUCUUCCUCGAAGAAUCUUUCUUUUUCUGAUUUUGAUAAGAAGCCAUUUAUGUAUAGAGAAAGGCUCACCAAAAUCGUAGAGAAAGAAAGAUUAGGGGCGUAUACAGGAUGACUCCAAGAGGAGGAAAGGAGAGAAGAAAAAUAAUUUGGAAAUUUACGGCAAUCGAAGUACAGAGUAUAUAGCGAGAAGAAGAAAAAUGAAAACCUAGAUCUAAUAAUGGCUAAAAUUAAAAUCAAGAAUAAGGAGAAGAGAAUAACCUGAAUUAGUCGACGGAGGAAGAAAUAAAGACGAGAAUCGAACUUUCAGGGGACCGGACGGUGCGUGAUUUCGUAGAGAAGAUGAAGACUGAAGAGAAAGAUAAACAGAGGAGGAGAAUGAAGAAGAUGAAAGGCAAAUGGAAGAAUUGGGUUAAAGGUUGUAAAUUUAUAUGAGGAUAAUCCCAGGGGUAUUACGGGAAGAAGUAAAAUAGUGACGAGACAGUAGCAUUGGGAAGCGAAAGGACAGCAGUUAAAAUCAUAAGUGCGUCUGGGUAAGAGCAAAAGAGGCACGCGUAGGAGGUUCGGGACUCGAGAGCAUGCGCAAUUAAUGAAUAGCUGGAGAGAUAGGGAUAAGGCAGAGCCUAAGGCACGUGAGGAGCAGGUGAUAGAUUAAGUAAUGAAAAGAACUUAUGACAGUUUUUCCGUCAUCAUAAGGAGUUUACAUUUAGGCGGAGAAAAAGCCUUUGAGCCGCCAUCUAAGAAAUAUAGAUGACGGUCAAAGGAGGGGCGAUGUAAGUACCAAACCAUGCUAGGUGGAGUAUUGAGGACACAGGAGCUAGAUAAGGAGAGCAAACUGGGAAGUACCCAAUCGGAGUUCAGAACAUUCUAGAGUAUCACGGAUAAAGCACGUGAUGUCUGGCUGUAAAGCAUUCACUGUAUAGUAUGUGAUGGAGAAUGAAACACGUAGGAGAUAAUAGAACCAUAGGAUGCAAAGGAGGAUCCAACGGUUCAAGGAAGGCGGUGAAUAUUGCUAUAAAAGGAUCACGUUAGGGUUCGCUAAAAGGUAACUGUUCAUUCUUUGCUAAAAACCUAUUCUCUAAACCUAGCCGCUUACUGACUUGAUCGUUGGAGCUUUAUCCACCGGUCAUUGUCCGGUGGUCAUUGCAGGUACUACCGUUGAAGCAGUUGAAGGACCCAGCUGAGCUCAUCAAGGAAAGUGGGCUUACAGAUAUAAUGAGAAAAGUGGAGAGGAUUUAGUUUUACUUACAAGUUACUCUGAAUGCUUCAAGAAAAUUCAAGUACACAAUUUGGCUUUCGAGCAAGCAGUUGUAAUUGUUUAAUCUCUCUUUCUGGCAGUUCUCCAGGAUAUAGCUUAGAGUUAAAAUAAACCCUUGUUGUUAGUUUGAUAGUCAGUUUAUCCAAUACUCUUGCACUUUUUAUCAAAAAUUUAACAAACCACAUCUUCUCCGCUGUCCAUCUAAAAUGCUGGAUCUCAACUAACUUCAAGUGUGACAAGAAACAUUUUGGAGUUGUUCCCAUUAUUUGAACUUAUCCUUUAAAUUGGAUCGAACUAAGUCCCUAUAUAGGAAACAUAAUUAGAAGCUUUAAAAUGAAACUGACAUGAAAAAGUUUCUUUUCAAAGCCGAAAAGAACACAAAGGAAAAUUAUGGACUUACAUCGGGAACGGAAAUAGAUUCGAUAUUAGGCAUGUUACAGAGUAAAUCUAUGAAUGUUCUACCAUUUGCCUCCGUUUUGUACCACACAGUCAGAUGGAUCAAGCGGGAAAGUGCAAGUAAAUGGAUUGAGUGGUUCGGACAGGCGAGGGCCUAGAUAUAUCAAAUAGUACUUCUGAUAAAAAAGGUAACCCCUGAACUUCAACGAUACAAAAGUACAAGACUCUGCAUAAAUCCUUAUCGCACAAGAAUUUAAAACAUCAGUCCCCCCAUCCCCUAUUUUUAGCAGAAAUGGUAACACUCUUGAUCUUUGACCAUACACAGUAAUCUAGGAAAAAUUCAUCUAGGAUAGACAACUUAAAGAAAUUUCCUGUAUUGAUUGAUCUCCAAAAAAUGCAAUCUAAGAUGCAGGACCUUAAGGCUUGAAAAACAAACCAAAGCGGGUAUCUUCAUCGAGACACUCAUUUCAAUUUCAAUAUCCUCAAUGAUUUAUAAGUAAAAUGCAAUCUGAAAACCGAAAGGGACAUUCCUUAAAAAAUUGAGAUAUUUAGUUCUUGAACUUUACGCCUCAUUGCCUCAUAGAGAUCCAUUCAUUGAAGUGAGUUGCAUCACACUCCUUACAUUUGAGGUUGCACCUAGCAUAUAUUUGAAAUAUCAUUGCAACGAAGCACUUUGUCUACAAACUCACUAAAGAUUCCCUUUGUUUUCCUAUAAUUUGGACUCUUGCUCGAGUCGUUAUACAAAUGUUCAUCACAAAAAUCAAGAUUGUGGAUGAACUUCCAAAAGGCCAUUCCAUCUUGUUGAUAAUACACUAGUACCCAGUGGCGGCCCUGAGGGCAUGCCCAAGAAGCUUUUGAUUGGGGCCAACCAAUUUUUAAAGAAAAAGUGCACUAAAUCUUUACUCAACAUGUAUAUAAUUAUUUAUAGACCACAAUAUUGUCAUAAUUAAUUUGGUAGAUUUACUGGUAGCAACACUAUACCCUACUAAAAAUGCCCUAAGACCAAUUCUUAAGUACUAUUUUUUUAAGAAUUUUUUUUUUCCACAAAAAUUAUUUUCUUAUGUGUUUAGAAGUAGGGGUGUUAAACGAGGCGAACGAGCCAAGCUUUGGUAUGUUCAAACUUGAGCCAAGCUUUUAACAAGCCGAGCCCAAGCUUUUCGGUUCGUUUAACGACCUUAUUUAAAAGAAAUGUAGCUACACAUGUGGGUCAUCUAUGUUUAAAUUUGAAUUGGCCACCUAAAACUCAGGGCCGGCCCUGCUAGUACCCAACAACAUAUUUAGUAGGAAGAAAGGAGAGGAUGUAAUGCAGAAUCCAGAAUGUGUUCAGGUAAAUUGUUAAUUCUAUCGAUCUCACCAUUGCACUGUUGUUUAGAUAGUUUUUGCUUUUUAGAAUUUUUUGCAGAAGCACUUGUUUCCAUGACUAAGGUUCCAACCAGAAGCUAUACUGGAAUAUCUAAGAACAGACGAACUUAUGAUUGAUGAACAAUAGUGUAUGCUUAAUGCAUAAAAGGAAAAGGCACAAACAUUGCAGAUAUCUCUCUGUUUUACUGAUCGAAUCAACUCACUCUCUUGACAGCACUAGUAGCACACGCGAAAAAGUCGGUCGAUCUCUUUUGGUCCUCUUUGGCUGUGUCCAAGUGAAACUCAAGAAUGAAGCAGAUAGGUUCCAGUCGAAGGCAUUCAGCGAUGGGAUUGAGAAGAUAUGGAAGAAGAUUCAGUGAUCCCAGCAGGGUCAAUCUCAUAGGGGAAGUCAACUAGUGCGGGAUAUAAGAAAAUAAUUAUAAAAUAAGAUGACACCUCAAAAAGGAAGAAUUACAUUAUUUUAGUAAGGAAAAUAGGCAUUACUUUCUAAAUAAAACAUUGCGUUGUAACUAUGAGAGAGUCUUUUCUCUCUCUCUUCUUUUAAGUUUUCUCUAUCUGAAUGUCGAAGACAUAUUACUUAUUUAUCAAGAAUGUUUCUAAAUUGAUAUGUACAAUUAUUAUAUAUUUGCCAAGAUGUUCUACAUUUCUAAGAUUUCCAUAUUACUGAAUAAAUAAUCAAAUGUUAGGUUGAACUCCAAGUUAAUUAAUUAAUUCCACAAUGUAGAACAAGAUAAUUAUAUUUUAAAUAAAUAAAUAAAUGUAGCAAACAAAAAUAAUCAAGCUGUUUUCCUUUUAAUAGCAACAAAACUGUAUCAACGAACCAUCUUUAGAGUUAGAGUAUCAAUGAACAAGGUAAUCUAAAAUUAUCAUUUCAUAUAUAAAUUGAAUUAUCAAUUAGGGUUAGAGUUCAUUAUUAGUGGCAAAAAAAGGUUAGAGUUCAUUAAACUUUAGAACAUUUCGUCAUGUGAUGUGAUAUAUUGGUUUCAAGAGUUAUCUACAAAUCCUCCAUUCGUUAAUAUUGUAGAUGAUAUACAGUAGAACCUCUUUAAAUUAAUACUCGAUUCGUUAAUCUCUCUAAGUUAAUGAAAUUCUCUAGUCCCGAUUUACAUCGUAAGUAGCUAAAUCAACACUCGGUAAGUUAAUAAAUUUUAAUAAAAUUGCAUAGGUCCGAUGCUAUUAAUUUAAAGAGGCUCUACUGUAUAAUUCAAUCUAUCUCACUUAUUGAGAAAAGUGAAAACAUUGGAGGUAUGAAGAAGUAAAGUGAAGAACUACAGUAAAAUUAAUAAUAAUGAAUAAUCUCAGCCCUUGUAGAAAUUAAAGCAACUUUAGGUUAGCUGUAGACAAGAUAGAUAUGGACGAAGUGAUUCUCAUUAUUCACUUCUUUGUUCUCUAUACAUAGCUUAGCCAAACAUAACAUGUACAUAGGAAAAAGAGGUGUAUUCACUUGUUAUUUCUCUAAGUACCACAUACAGUAUAUAUAUAGGCAUCACAAAGUCAAUCACUUGUGCUUAGCUAACAUAGGUGAGUGCCACCUAGCAUCCUUUUCUGACACAUCAAUUUGAUGACUAAUCAAGUAUCACUGAUGGUCUACCUAAUCACCUGGAUUAAGAGUGUGGGCUUGGAUUUGGACAUCCACUAUUUACAACACUCCCCCUUGGAUGUACAAUAUCCACCAUAUCAAGAUAUUGCCUCAUAAAACCUUGCUAGGAAAAUCCAGUGGGAAAAAACCAUGGCAAAGGAAAAAAAGUACAAUAAUUGAUUUCUUGAUUGGUGUUGGAUGCACUAUAUACUGCCUCGUUAAAACCUUGCUACGAAAACCCAGUGGAAAAAACCGUAGCUAAGGAAAAAUAGUACAGUGCGCUUAAUGUCCUGGUGGCUCCCCCUGAAGACAACUCCCCCUGAUGAAGAUUAGACUAAGCUCGACUUUCGGCGAAUCCCAAUGUCAUAUGCCAGUUUCUUAAAAGUUGAUGGAGGUAGUGACUUAGUGAACAAAUCAAAGAGAUUCUCAUCAGACCAUAUCUUCUGGACAUUGAUCUCAUUACUCUUCUAUAGUUCAUGAGAGAAAAAGAAUUUUGGAGAAAUAUGUUUUGUUCUAUCACUUCUGAUGUAGCCUUCCCUGAUUUGAUCAGUAGAUGCAGCAUUGGUUGUGGUUGAUGAUACAUCAUAUCUAAACAACAUGCGGGCUCCCCUCAGUUACAGAAACACUAACAGUGAUUUGUUUGGAAGAUCACCAAGAAAUUGUUGUACCACCAUAAGUAAAUACAUACCCGGUUUGCGAUCUUUCUUUGUAUGGGUCAGAUCUAUAUCCUGCAUCUGCAUACCCCUUUAGUUAGGAGCCAUUUGGUGGUUCUCUUGAAUAUUAUAAACCCAUAUCAGCCUCGAAAGUAACGCAUAAUCUCUUUUAAGCCAGUCCAAUGGCGUUGGGUUGGAGCUGACCUAAACCUGGCUAACAAAUUCACUGCAAAUGAAAUGUCAGGUCUAGUACAUUGGACUAAAUAUAAAAGAGCACCCUUAACACUCAAGUAUGGUACUUAAGGAGUAAGUAAAGAUUCGUUCUCCUCUUUAGGACGAAAUGGGUCUACCUUCACAUCAAGUGACCUUACGACCAUUGGAGUGCAAUUUGGCAACAUUUGUCCAUGUUAAAACGAUUUAAAACUUUUUUAGUAUACGUUGACUGAUGGACAAAUAUUCCAUGUGUUGUAUGUUCGAUCUGCAGGUCGAGACAAUACUUUGUUUUCUUGAGAUCUUUCAUCUCGAACUCAUUCUUUAAAUAGUUUGCAGCUUUGGCAAUCUCUUCAGGAGAUCCAAUUUUAUUUAUGUCAUCUCUUAAUCUUAAUAGAGUACAUAUGACAUGGUUUUGCUUCAGGCAGUUAGUUUGCAUCUUUAGCAAUCUCUUCAUGAGAUCUAAUUCUAUUUAUGUCAUCUCUUAAUCUUAAUACAUAUGACGUGGUUUUGUUUUAGGCAAUUUUUAUCCUUCAGGGACUUUCAUAUAAAUAUCAGUAUUUAACAUUUCAUAAAGAUACGCAGUAACCACGUUCAUGAGAUGCAUGUCGAGUCUUUUAAAGACCGCCAGACUAAUUAAGAAUCGAAACGUAAUGACAUCCAUCACAAGAAAAUAUGUCUCUUCAUAAUCAAUCCCGGGUUUUUGCGAGAAAUCUUGUGCCACGAGACGAGCUUUAUACCUCACAAUCUCAUUUUUCUCAUUGUGUUUCCUUAUAAAUGCCCAUUUGUAACCUACAAGGUUAACAUUCUUGGGGGUUAGGAAACACAUUUGUUUUGCAAGAGAAUCUAAUUUUGUUUGAAUUGCAUCCUUCCAUUUUGGCCAAUCAUGUCGUUGUCGACUAGGGCUGGCAAUGGUACGGGUUAGACCCGAAACCCGGUCCGAUCCGUACCGAUAAGAAUAGGUUUGGUAUUGCAUUUUUAUGUAUUGGUACGGGUCUGGUUCUUCAAAUUAGGACCCGAUUGUUAUCGGAUCGGGUUUGGAAUUAGUAGAUACCGAACCGAUAUGGACCCGAUAUAAAUUAUUUUGAGGUUUUGAAUAUUUUAGAUUCACUACCAUUAUUAACAUAUCAUAAAAAUCCUAAAUUCUAGAAAUUUGAUUAUUGUAAAUAAAUGUUUUAAUACUAAUUACCUUAUAAUUAUAUGCAAUUACAUUAAAAACAUAGAAAUAAAUAAAAUCAUAUACCAUAUUUGUAUACUUGAUUAUAUAUAUUUACUAAAUAUAUCUAUCUAGAUUCUUAAAAAGUAACUCAUUUUUUCUAAAUUUGUAUACAUGACAUAUCAAUUUAUGGUCAAAAUACCCGAAUCCAACUCGGAUCCGAUCCAAUAAGAUUUGGUAUGGGUAUGGUUCCUUACUUUCGGACCCGAUAGGGUCUGGUUCCGGGUCCAGGAUUAUUAGUUUUCUUAUUGGUUCGGGUAUGGUAUUUCUAAUAUCCGGUCUGAAUCGGUCCAUUGCCAGCCCUAUUAUCGACAUUCCUCAACAGUAUGUGUAUCAAGACCAUCAUCAUCUGCUGCAAUCUCAGCAGCUACGGCAAAGGAGAAUACGUCAUCGAUGACAAUUUUAUUUCUAUUCCACAACUCUCUUGUGUAUGCAUAAACUACAGAAAUUUCAUCAUUUUCAGGUACCUGAGCCAUAUCUGGGGCUUGUGUUAGUUCUGGGACAACCACUUUGGGGGCUUGUGUCAUUUCAGGGGUUUAUGUCACUUCAGGGACGACCACUUAGGAGCUUAUUUCGCUUCAGGGAUGGCCACUUCGGGGGAUUGUGUCACUCUAGGGACACAUUCCUCUUCAAGAGGUUUUUGUUUAGAGAGAGUGUGUUUUCCUUGCCUUAUAGCCUCUUUAGGAGCGCUAUUUACUGGAGGUUUUGUUUGACUUUUCCUCUUCCAGGGAUUUGAGUCCUUUGACCCAAUAGGUCGUCCACGCUUCUGGCGUACUUUAGACGAUUUCAUUUGCUGCCACAUUUGUGGGAUUUCCUUCAGGGACAUGUCAUCCUUCAGGGACAAAUCGUCCUUCUGGGACUUUAAUUCUCGCAGGCGCAUUAACAACUGCUAUAUUUUAUCUUAUCACUCUUGCAAGUCAAUUUAGGCGCUUCUUCAGGAAGCCACAAAUAUUUACACCGUUCUACAGUAACGGUACUUCUUCAGGAAGUGCUUCUUCAGGAAAUCGUAAAUAUUCACGCUGUUCUUCAGGAACAGAUGUAUUUUCUCCCCCUAACGGCGGGAAAACUGUCUCAUCAACGUGACAAUCUGCAAAUCUAGCGAUACGAACAUCAUAUGUCAAUGGUUCAAGAUAUCUAACAAUAGUUAGAGAAUCAAAACCAACCCAAAAAAUUCUAGACUACGAGACAUAUAACUUUACUAUCCGCAAGAUGAUUAUACAUGCUAUAUGCAUAUCCCUUCACAAUACAAGGAAAAUAUUUAAGUAUACUAUUAGAAACGAAUUUCAAAUAGUAAAACAAUGUAUAUGAGGAUUAUUUGACCAAAUAAAGUUAGAACUUCCGGUUCUUAAUUAAUGGAUUAAAACUUCAAGUCUAAUCAAAGAUGUGAGACUUCAGGCUUGAUCACUAACAAAUAAAAACUUUAGAUUCUUGGUCAAAAUCAAAUAUUUGAAACUUCCGGCUCACUGAGGAUUUUCUCGUUUUAUAAAGACUUCAGGCGUCAACAUCAUUUAUAAAAUAUGAUCAUUAGACUUCGAGUCUUGAUCUAAUCAUACAUAACUUCAAGUUCUUGGAGCUUUAAGCCCAAAUAAAAAUUAAAUUUGAUGUUGAGCUUCUGGUUCAUUAUGGAACACAUCAAUAUCACUAUGAAAUAAAUGGUUAGAACCAAUAAUUUCAAUUUAAAAAAUCAAAUACUUACUCAAUACUUACACCGGUAGUAGUGUAGUAGUUUAAUAUUGUAGUUCUUGUCUAUGUACUUCUUGAACAAUAGAGCAAUCUCGUGCUGAUAACGUCGUAAAAAUUAAAGCAACUUCAGGUUAGCUAGUUGUAGACAAGAUAGAUAUGGACGGAGUGAUUCUCAUUAUUCACUUCUUUGUUCUCUGUACAUAGCUUAGCCAAACAUAACAUGUACAUAGGAAAGAGAGGUGUAUUCACUUGUUAUUUCUCUAAGUACCACAUGCAGUAUAUAUAUCUAUAUAAUAUUACAAGGCGGUCUCAUAAACACAGCCGUUAGAUGCCUAUUAGGACAACCACAACCAUUGGAUGUAGAAUAAUUUAUAUAAUCGAUGUAAUAAGUUGUAAUAAUAGCCUUAGAUGUCCAAAAUUCGAUCUUAACCAUUAGUUGUCUAUUGAGACAAUCGUAGCCAUAUGAUUAAGAGUUUUAAUUGCUAUCACAUUAAAUUUCAGAAAUAUAACCUAUAGAUUAAUUAAUAAUACUAAAUAACCAAUAAUUAUGAGACAUGGGCAAUUAAAAUUAUUGUAAAUUAAUUAAUAAUACUAAAUAACCAAUAUUUAUGAGACAUGGACAAUUAAAAUCAUUGUAAAUUUAUUUUUAAAAUAAUAAUAAAAAUAUUGAAACCAAUGAAUCUUUGGUGUAUAAGGAUUUAGAUGUUCAAAAUUCGAUCUUAACCGUUAGUUGUCUAUUGAGAGAAUCAUAGCCAUAGGAUUAAGAGUCUUAAUUGCUAACACAUUAUCUUGUGGAUUAAUUAAGGCUCCAGAUUUUGCCAAAGAAAAAAAUGUUUUUGCCAAUGAUUAAUUCUUGGUAUUACAUAAUUGCCCUCAAUUAGUUUAAUUUAAAAUUUAACUAUUUAGUAUUCACAAAAUCUUGGAGAAAUCUAUUAAUGCUUUGCCCAUAUAAGGAUCAUACAGAAAUUUUGUAAUUAAAUUUUUUUAUUUUAAAUCCCCAAUUUUGAAUUUAUAUUUAUUUAAAAUACUUAAAAAAUAGUUUUUUAUGUAAAAGUUUAAUAAAUAGAAAAUGAAAAAGAUUCACUUUCAUUAUUGAUUGGUUUAAUCAAAAUUUUGAUAUGUAAUUAGAAAAGAAGAAUCAAACAAUUUUAGUGAAUCAAGAGAUUUGAUUUAACAGAUAUUUUGAUUUUUAAGAAUCUAAAUUCUAAAAAAAUGAAAAGUGGUUUUUGAACAACAAUUGUCAUAUUUAUGGUAAAACAAUUGAGGGUAAUUGUGUCAUAUCAAAAAGUUAUCAUUGGCAAGAUUAAUUUAAUUGAACCAUUAAAUUGCAAAUGUUUACUUACAUAUUAGCAAGAUUAAUUUAAUUAAAAUUUUGUAAUUAAAUUUUUUAUUUUAAAUCUCUAAUUUUGGAUUUAUAUUUAUUCAAAAUACUUAAAAAAUAGUUUUUGAUGUAAAAGUUUAAUAAAUAGAAAAUGAAAAAAGAUUCACUUUCAUUAUUGAUUGGUUUAAUCAAAAUUUUGAUAUGUAAUUGGGAAGAGAAGAAUCAAACAAUUUUAGUGAAUCAAGAGAUUUGAUUUAACAGAUAUUUUGAUUUUUAAGAAUUUAAAUUCUAAAAUAUGAAAAAUAGUUUUUGAACAACAAUUGUCAUAUUUAUGGUAAAACAAUUGAGGGCAAUUGUGUCAUAUUAAAAAGAUAUUAUUGGUAAAAUUAAUUUAAUUGAACUCACUAAAUUGAAAAUGCUUACUUACAAUGACAACUAAAUACUCGAAAACUAUUGUUGUAGGUUAUUUAAACUUUCUUACAAUAAUGGUGUUGACUAAACAAGAUAAAAUCCAACAAUAUCUAGAUGCAGGGUAUAAUGGACCACUGGAAGCAGCUAUGCGCUUAUUGGAAAUAUACUACCUAUAGAGAGACCGAAAGUGCAACGAUUACACCUCCAUCUUAUUGGAAUGCACCGUCUUCUUUUUAAUCCUAAUGAAUCAAAGAAAGCUAUUUUUAAAAGGGCUCAAAAUAAGAAAUCUACUCUAACUGCCUUUUGUUUAUUGUUGUGAUGCAGAUGCUUAUUCAAGGGAACUAACAUAUCAAGAGUUCUCUCAACAUUAUGUCUAGAACAAUGAAGAUUCUAAGUGGACAAGAAAAAAAUAUAGAUUUGCCAUUAGUAGAAUGUAUUUUACAAGUCCUAAUUUAAGUGAAAAAUUCUAUUUGUGGUUGUUGGUUACGAUUGUUAAAAGGUCUUGCACUUUUAAUGAUCUUAAAAUAUAUGACAAUUAUUUAUUUAAUACGUUUAAAAAAGCAUGUGUUGCACGUGGUCUGUUUGAGGAUGAUCAAGGAUACGUAGAAUGUUUAGAAGAGAUUACUCUUAUGGAAAUGUCACACGUUCAAAUUUUUUCCCGAUUGCAGGAAAAUAACACAAGCAUUAAAGCUUAGGAUUGCAUAAGGAGGGUAUGAGAUCCAAGUCUCUACUGAGUACAUUAUGCCACUAUUUUCCAUUCCUCCUAUAGUGGUUGGUAGUGAGACCACUGCUAAACUCUUGGUCACAAAAAUUGGUUGUGAAUGCAGUUGGAGUUGUUCUAUAUUAUCUUUUAGUAAUGUUUGAAUGUUUGUCACAUCUAUGUCUACUGUUUUGGUAAAUAAAUACUCAAUAUAUUUCAAUUAAUUAAGGGAAAGAUACUAUCACUACAAAAGAAUUUAGUUAUUCUAACUGGUAGUAGUUUUCCAUGUUUUGCACUGUACGUAAUUCAAACAAUGGGUCUUGGGAGAGAAAAUGACAACUGUAAUCAAUUUCAAAGUAUUAUGAUUUGGAAAGAGAUAUUUAAAACGUUUACUUAAAUGCUUACACACCAUUCUCUACCCCUCCAUAUGUUCUUCUAUGUGUUAAGAACUCAUACCAAAAAAAUAAAAAUAAAAAAAUACACAACUAAAAUGGAUGCUACCUAUAACUCUUAAAAGAAAGAAAAUGGCUAGAGAAAAAUUUUCAUAUGUUUAAUAUUUGUCUGCAAUCAAAGAUGGAGUGAAAUAAAUACAUAUUUGAAGCAAUUGAAUGAUAUUGGUAAAGUUCAAUAUAUAUGUAAUAUAUGCAACUAUUAUAUCCAAAAGCUCAUUAGGAUAAAAACUAAAGCCAAACGUGUUAUUGUUAUUCUUGAUCAAAGUAAAAGAUAUAUCAACUACAAUAAACACAAAAAUAAAUUAGUUGGAUGCAACAAAUAAAAAAUAUUAAAUCAAAAUUUAAGAUAAAUAUUUAAUAAAAAUUAUAGAAAAAAAAAUUAAAAUAAUAAUAAUUAAAAUAAUCGUGCCUUAGGCACAAGUUAUAACUAGUAAUACAUAUAUAUAUAUAAAUAAUAAUCUACAAAGGGUGCAUAAUUUGACUAGGACUAAUUUAUAUGACUAGGAUUAAUUUCUAUGACUGGGAUUAAUAUUUAGUAUGAUUAGGACUAAUCUACAAAGGGUGCAUAAUUUGACUAGGACUAAUUUAUAUGACUAGGAUUAAUUUCUAUGACUGGGAUUAAUAUUUAGUAUGAUUAGGACUAAUAUCUAUGAUUAAGUCUGAUUAGGACUAAUACACCCAAAACCUUAAUCGUCAAGUCAGUUUGCUAAACCUUAAUCUCUUCCAUCAUCAUCAUCGUCCUCUUUUAACCAGAAGAAAAAACUAAAACAAAAGUGAAAACGAUCUGCAAAUCCCUACUCACACAAUUGAGCACUAAAUAAGGAUUUGAGGGAUUUUGCUUCCUUACAACACCCUCGAAUUGAGUUUGCUUUGCUUCCUUUAUAAUACUCAAAUCACCCAAAACCGAGCUUGACUUAUUAUGGAGUCUGUUUUGUUUGUAGGAAAUUCGUUAGUUAUGAUUUUUAGGUGGUUCUAAAUUCUGCUGAAUUUUUUUUGAAUUUUUCUGUUUGGAUUUUGAAUUUUUAAUCGUCCAACAGCAUCAAGUUCUUCUUAAUCUGUUUGAAUUCAAGCCCAACAACAUCAAGUUCUUAUUUGGACAAUUGUUCUUAUUUUGCAGUCAAUUCAAUUCUAUAUAAACUGAACUAUUAGUUUUGAUCCUGUAUUACAAUCACAAUUAUUGACUGUAAAUAAUGUGAAUAAGUUGCAGAAUACUUGAAUGAGGAUUAAUUUUAAUACUGUAAAACAAUUCAAUUCUUUUAGGCACAUUGAGACCAAGGACGAAAAACAAAGUUAAUGAAUGAUGGAGUAAUUUAUGUAGUGUAGCUAGGUAGCUUGGGUUAGGAGACAUGUCUGUCCCUCUCUUCAAGUACUCCUGCAUUUGCACUGCAGUUAAAUUAUGCCCGUCCAUCGCAAUGAAUUCUUCAGCUGUCAUCCCAAUCUUAUUACUUUUAAAGUUUCAAUGUCUUAGGAACAUCUCAUGACAUUAUAGCAUAAUGAAACUUUAAUAGUUAUCACUAAAAUACACUCCAAAUUUUGUGUCUAGAGUUGCUUUGCUGCAUCUCAAACUAAUAUGCUAUGCUGUCAUAUCAGUUAUUCGUGUUCAUGUAUUCAGCAUUGGAUGUCUUACAGUGAUCUUCAUUCAUUAAGCAAAACUAAAAAUUCAUCGUAUUAGUAACCAAAAUCAUGUCGACACCUUCUUAGCGAAAUCACUUAUAUAGAAAACUAGAACUAAUGUUAUGGUAUUAUUAGGAGCCCCAAGGAAAAUGAUGUAGUCUGAAACCAUUUGAAUGGGGGAGUGUAUAGAGAGAGCUUUGUCAGAUUUGUACUACCUCUUCCUUGGUAGUAUACUAGCCAUAGCUUUCCUGAUUUUGUUUUCUCCUUAUUUUCCGGCCUCCAUGUGAAAUGUGCAUUGCCUAAUAACAAUGAUGCUUUCUUAAAACAAUAAUAUAAGCUGACACGGGUAUAGGUUUCUUCUACAGACAAACUGAAGUGAUGAGGGAAUUUUAAGUUAAUUAAAUGAGUACGGGACUAGAAACUAAUCUAAUGUAUUUUUAAGAAAAAACAAUGAUGUAUGAAAAAUUAAAAAUUAAUAAAUUAGAAUUAAAUAAUAUCAAGCUAAAUUAAUCAAAAAGACAAAGGAAAGUUUGCUGAAAGUGUAUCUAGAGCCGGUCAUAAUCUGAAGAGGGUGGACUUCGACUCUGACGUUAGCCUUACGUCGGUGACCCAAAAUAUAAUAGCAGACAAGUUUUGAAAACCAGAAGAACAAGCUAAAAUCCAGUGUAGACAAUAAUUAACACCUCACAAUGAAUUUUGUAAGAAAUAUUCAAUUUGAUUAAGUACUUUAACUAAUAUGGCAUAUGCUUGGAAUUUAAAUUUUAAACAAUGUCAAAUGGAGCCUAAAAAGUAAAUGGGAUUUGGAUUUAUACAUAUUGUCUCCUUCAUUCCUUCGAAUGUUUUCGUAGUUGAGUAUCCUUCUAGAUACUAUGUUGAGGUUAAUACCUUUAUUUUCACUUUUUAGCAUACAAUUUUGAUCUAUAUUAUCAUACAAACACAAAAAAAUUGUUUUUUCGUUUAAUGUUAGCAGUUUUGUUUUGUUUCCCUGUUUUACUAACUAAGAAAGUUUUAUUUCAACUACUGUUGAAAUCCUAAAACGUUAGCUUGACACUUUCCCCAUUGUUUUGCCCUUCCCAGUAUUCCACUUAUAAUGCUCCCCCGAGCUGACUUCUUUUAUAUCUACAUUGUCUGACAGAGAAAGAACAAUGGGUACAAAAGCCUUCUUCUGAUGAGUCUGUCAUGUGUAACAACUCCAUCCAGAAAUGCCUAGGCUGAUUUGAUAUUGAAGUUUCCACCUAGACUAAGAGCCGAUAUGAUUUUAAAGAUUUAAGUUUGGAUUAUACAUGUUAAGAUCUAAUUAUAGAGUACUUGAGGAGCUGGUGAUAGUUCAUUGUAGUUGUAGGCAUUCUAGAACUUUGUUGGCUAAGUGCAUAGCACAAAAUAUCGCGACAAUUAUAGUGUGACAAGUUUGACCAUUUUGAGAAACUACAAUUUUGUUUAGAAAGAACUUAGUCAAUAUUACUUGAAUGGGAACAAAAUUAGCCCAUUUUAAUUUAGGUACUUAGAAACACUGAAACAGAACACAAACUUGACAAAUUGAUGCAUUAGCUUGAUUUUUCUGGAAGGAACAUUAAUUAGCAUGGGCACUCCAUAUAACUAGGAAAUAUUAUGUGAGUGAAAAAGCAAAAGAAUAAAUUAGCAUAUAUAAUCCAUUUACGUUUUUAUACAGUAAAUGCAGAGAUAAUAUUAAUUGAUAUCUACAUUAAUAAGGAAGAAAAUGCAAAAGGAUAAUGUUCAGAAGAAUAAUGUUAUCAUAUUCCUUGGUAUGAUAAAUAUGGAUUAAGAAUAGAAAUUUGUUGAAGCCAAAUAUGCAUGUUUCGCCAACUAGCUUAUAAAAAUAUUGAAAUAAUUAGAGAUAUUUUGCAUGCAAUUUGAUUAGCAAGGACAAGUGAGCGUUACGCCUUUUCCAAUAACAAAUCUGAAGACCCUUUCAAUAAAAAUAUAAUAGCCUAAAUACCAAUCGAAUAAUACGUCGUCCAAUGACUUGGCAGGUAAUGUUACUUUCCAGAUGUGAGGCUAAUGGAACUGUGCACUUGGGAAUCCUCCAAGAAUGGUUUGGAAUACAUUGGUGGAACUCCCGAGCUUUCACUUUGUUCUGCACUAUCAUAUUUAUCAUGCUUUUGAGAUUAUUUGAGAUUAUGGUACAAAAACUUUUUUGUUCAUUCUUAUAUUUAUAGUUGUGGUUUUUUCUUAAUGGUUAUGAGAAGUACAAAACAUUAUUGAGAGGGCAUUGAUAGUAAAGGGGUAUACAGUACUUCUUGGAAGUUAAUUAUAUGCAAACUAGAUUUAUGUGAAAUUGUUGUUUGCUAUACAGGUAAACUAUGGUUCCAAACAAUUAUUCGAGACUCUGCCAGUGGCCACAGGAGGACUCUAUUGAAUUGGGAACCAGUUCAAAAUAUAAGCUUUUGUUACAGAUUCGUGUUCUCAAAUGAUGCUUCAUCUCCAUGACGUGUAUGAUACAAAGUCUCAAUAAGGUUAAGCAUUUGCCAACUCUACAGUAUUUCUAUAUGACCGUGGAUCUCCAUGUUCAUUUUUGUAACUUAUCGAUUAAUCUCACUUUCUACUUUAAUCGAUAAAUAUAAAAAUAAAAAUUGUUUACGGGUCACCAUGUGGAGAAGUAGAGGUAGAAUCUAAGCAUACUCAAGCUAGCUGGGUUGUGUUAGUAGCUUAAGUAUGAUCCAAAUCUAUUUUCUGUACUAUGACAUGAGCUGAUAGCUUAGCUUUUGAUGUUAUUGCACUUGAAUAACAUUAACUUUUGAUAGUUAGUAGCAAUUGAACUAUGACAUGAGCCGCUUGAAUGAGGCUGAAGCCUUUGAAGCUUGGGUUUUAGAUAGGGCUGGCAAAGUGACCCGAGACCCGUUAACCCGACACGAACCCGACCCGAUAUAAACAGGUUUGGGUUUAGCCUUAUCGGGUUGGCGGGUCAUUUUGACCCGAACCUGUUAACCUGUUUAAUAUACAGGUCGGGUUCAGGUCUGAAUAUUAACAGGUCGGGUCAGACCCGAAACCCGUUAGAAAACCCUAAGUAUAAAAUAGAAAAAUACCAAUACCCUAUCUAUCCUUGUUAUUUUCUUCUUGGCCGCCACCAUGAACAAACCAGUGAACCACCAUUAACGUCUGUUCUUCUUCAUGUAAAAUGGCAGCAUAUCAUUCAUCAUCAACUCUUCUUCCUUUAGAAGUUGAAAUCAAGAUUUCUUCAGCUAAUGAUCUUAAAAAUGUUAAUUGGAAACAUGGUGAUCUCAAAUCGUAUGUUGUUGUUUGGGUUGAUCCUAACUCCAAUUAAUCAUUCUUCUUCUUCUUCUUCAACUUCAUCAAUCUAUUGAUUUUUCUUCUCACUACUUUCCUUCCUUCUUUGCAGCUUUAAUCUGUCUAAGCCAUGUUCUGACGAAUUCUUGUCAACCAAAACGACCGUUUGAAGCAUAUAUUGGAUAGUACUGGUGUUGGCGGUGGUGAUGGCGAUGCUGUUGCUGAGAUCAACGGUGAGAUUAGAGCACGGUUUCUUGGAAUCAAAAGAAGAUGUACUUCUCUCAUUCUUCAGUUGACAAAUGUUUAUGAACAAAACAAUGAGUUAUCGGUUGUGAAUCUUUCAAUCGAAGAAAUCUUGAAAUAUAGAUGUUAGUACGUUUACUGUUUUUCAUGAUUCAUGAUGUUGAUGAAAAAUUGAGAUCCAUUGAUGAUGGUAAUUUUACAGAUAAUACAGAACCAGUUGGUUUUACGCCACGAUUUGGCUUCCAUCAUCCAAAUCAAGAAGCAACACCAUAUUACCCACAGUCAUAUACAAACAUUCAAUGUGUUUAAGAAAGCAGGUCUAAACAGGUCGACCUGAACCCGACCUGUUUAAUUAGCAGGUCAGGUUCGGGUUUAAGGAAAAAGAGUUAAACAGGUUAACAGGUCAGGUUCGGGUUUAAGCGAAAAACACCCCAACCUGUUAAGACCCGACCUGAACCCGACACGACCCGACACGAUUGCCACCCCUAGUUUUAGAUGACGUGAACAACAAAAUUGACUAUAGGAUUUUGAACCAACUUUUGUGUUAAGCUAGCAAGUGCUAGACAUGGUGGUAUUGACGACUGGAUGAAGAGUGAUAUUAAGCCUACCUUUGCUGCCUAAAGCAUUAACUCUUGCUUUCUUGAGUUUAAAUUUUUUUCCUUUUAAGAGCACAAGACAUUAUUUUAUUUAUUUAUUUUUUUUUUUUAUAAAGCAAAACAAGACACUUGACCACUGUGAUUCUAAAUUUCUGAUAUGAUCAUCCGACUAUAUUCUUUCCCAUAAUCAUCUUUUCUUUACUUAUGCGGUACUAUUUUGAUUCACAUUUUCCUUUGAGCAACACAAGACACUUGGGUAAACAAUUUUUUUUUAUCGUGAAUAGAUAUUAUAAAUAGGAACAUAAGGUCAUGUAUUUUAAUAAAAUAUUUGCAUUUAGCAUUUUGUGCAUACUUAGCUGGUGUAGCUCAGUUGGUUAGAGUGUGUGGCUUUUAAACCACAAAGUCGAAGGUUCAAGCCCUUCCUCCAGCAUCUGUAUUUACUGUAGCUUUGAUAUUUUGGCAUAAUAUUCAUAUUUAUCUCAAGUAGCUCAUUUUGUUCGAGUUUGAUGGUUUUUUACCUCGAUGUUGAGUUCAAGCCUUUUUUAUACAAUUUACAUUUUAAUUGCCAGUUUUAUUACAAUUUGGUGCUUUCAACGAUGUAAUGAAAUUAGUUUCAAUUCUUUUAUAUUGUCAUCAUUCUAGCCUAGAACUAAUAUGUUACACGGCACACAGCUGUUUUCAUCCUCGAAAUCGUUGCGAUCUUUAGAAACUAACACAAAUAGUUGUGAAACAUGGUCUUUAAUGAAGAUGAAGAUAGCUGGCGGACGAAAUUGAGCAGAAAAGGGGAUUUUUUUGUCCACUCCAUGGGUUUUUUAGAAGAAUUUUUUAUCAAAGUUUGUUUGGUAAUUUCUAUGACUUUUCUAAGGUCCCUAUUCUAACCCUCAUGUACAAUUGGCCAAAACAGUUUUUCUAAACAAAAUUUCAUAGUAUUCGGUAUCUCCUGAUAUAGCAAUUGCAACAUCUCCAAGCUUGAAACUCUCACCUGUUCAGAACUUUGUUUAUGGUGUUUCACGUGGUGGAUAGACUUGAGCUUUGGCGGAAGUGCUAUCAAUAGUUGAAAGUAACAACAUGCGUACUAUCAGCAUGUUCCUGCAAGAUUGUUGUCUAUUGUUCCUAGCACAACAACUGAUCUUAAAUAUGGCUGAAACAUUGGCCCAAACUUCUUCACGAGCUCACUAUGUUCCCUAGGUACUGAAGGUGAUUUUUUCUUUUUUAUCUAAAUUUUGGACAGAACAUGAAAAUAACAUGUUACUUAUUGUUUCCUUGGCUGUCUAAUUUCAGAUAUCAUUUGAAAUUCAAAGACCGGAGGAAUUGGCUAUUAAAGAAUCUAGGGAUUAAAGCAUUUAUAUGUAAAUAAAAAAUAAUCUAACAACCAACAAUUUCAACAAUAAGUUAUGACAGUAGUGAUAUCCAAAUUAUCAAAAAAUAAUUAUAGGUUCAAAAUGUCAAUAAGAAAAUCGAUGUAUCUCAUUGACUGGAAAGAAGCAAAUGAGAUUAUGGAGGUAUUCUUCGAAGAAAAAAAAAAGAUAUGAACAAACAAAGACUAAGAAAGAAACAGUCAUUGGAGAGAAGAUACAAAUAUAAGAUAAGUUAAGCGUCAAAAUAGAGAAUCUCAACAACAAUAAAAUAAUUUAUUUAUGUUGUUUUGAGAAAAUCCUACAUAUUAUUGUGUAAGGUAGUAUUUUCAAUAGAAAAUAUUACAUUGCCGACUGCAAUUUACGAAUAUGUUAUCAUAUUUUUGAUAAAAUUAUUGUCACACAAACUUCUAUUAAAUGGUUUCUUUGAAAAAAAUGGUUGUUCAUUUCGUCAUACCAUAUGUGAUUUUAACUUUUAUUUCUACAUCACAUGAUUAUCUUGAGUGGAAUAGAUAUUUGUGUUGUUCAUAACAUCAAACUGGUGGCUUUUUUGUCUCUGUCAAACUACGUUAAUCACUCGCUUAGGGAUGGACACAGAUAAUAAGAUAGAGCUAAUUUUUGAAGGUAUUACUAUUGAUAACGGAUGGUAUACAGUUGACCUUUAUGGCAUACUUACAAGUUAUUAUGGACAAAUAAUAUAUCCAAAUGCUUUUUUGAAAACAAUCUGAAAGGAGAAAAUAAUGGAAAUAAUAAGAUCAACAGUAGAAGAUAUACCACCAGAAGAAGAAGAUGAUACAUAUAUGGACGAAAUGGACAAAAUGGACCUGAUGAAAAAAAAGAUGAUAUACAAGAAAUUUCAAAUGGAUACAUUGAGCUGUUAGAGAUAUUUACUCUAAAAAAUUUAGUUAAUUAGAUUAAUUAUUAUAUUUUUAAGAAUAAUUACUUCAAAUAAAUAAUGGUUGACCAACAUCACCUGAGUAUCUGACAGUCAGAAACCUACUCAGUUUUGCACAGUUGUACUGAGCAUUUGUUGUGUUAUAGCAGUAGCUUAAUGUUACCACCUAUGAUGCAAAAUUUUUGUUAUUAGAGUAUUUGACUAUAGGGACCAAUUAUGUGAUUAUUUAUAAUUUAGAUCAACAAUUUUAUCCAUGCAUCAAUGUCCCUAAGACUAUAAAGCGUCAGAACAAUUAUAUUUUUUAAAUAAAAAAAAAUUAUAUUUUUUAGAGUUCUAUUUUCAAAUUAUUAAUGGUAGUCGUGGCAGCGCCACGGGUUUUACUAGUAUAUAUAUAGGCAUCAUAAUGUCAAUCACUUGCUCAGCUAAUAUAGGUGAGUGCCACCUUGCAUCCUUUUCUGACACAUCAACUUGAUUGCUAAUCAAGUAUCACUGAUGGUCUACCUAAUCACCUGGAUUAAUAGUGUGGGCUUGGAUUUGGACAUCCACUAUUUACAACAAGCCCAAAUAUAUGUGUAGAAGAACAUAGAUGACAGUAUUCACCAGAGCUUGGACGCUUGGUUGCAGAUCGAGAACAAAGAGGGAAAUCUGAAAUUUUUAUUUUUUAACGAGGGAAAAGUUUUGCGAAAUACAGGCCCUUUUAGAUAGAGCCCAACCCAACAAAGAAGCCUGGUGUGGUGUUUGAUGAUAAGUAGGGUUCUUUUCUUUUAACUAUAAAUUAUUGUUUCUCUCUUAUCGAUUGAUCUUCUACCAUCAAAUUAGGGUUUCUUCUUCAUCUCCAUUGUAACACAACAUCAUGAGGGCUAAGGUAACAACAACAUCUUUAACUCUUUCUAUCUCUUAAUCUAUUACAAUUGUUGUUCUCUUUCUAUCUCUUAAUCUAUUAAAAUUGUUGUUAGUAAUGUGUAGGUUUUGAUAUAUUGUGUGAUUUGUUUGUUUGUUAUUUGAUUUAUACAACAGUGGAAGAAGAAGCGAAUGAGGAGAUUGAAGAGGAAGCGUCGAAAGAUGAGACAGAGAUCCAAGUAGAUUGAUCGAAAUUAAAGUUUUAUGUUUUUGUUUUGUUUUAGUCGGUAGAUAUAUGUAUCGAUAUCGGAGUUUUCUUUUUAGAUCGGAAACGAUUUCACUUUCGGCGGAUGAAUCGGAAUCGGAAUAGCUACUAAAAUAGUAGUUUUAUGUUUAUCGUAAUUUGUAUCGGAUUUUAUGGGUUUUUUCCUAAUAUCGGAAGAAUCGGAUUAGUAGCUUAUGGUUAUGGUUAUUUGGAUGAAUGUUUGAUUUGAUUAAUUAGUUUGAUUUAGUUUUUAAUUUUUUAUUAAAUUGAAAAGAUAGCAUGGCCUGAGAUUAAGAUUAGUUUCAUAAUUCCUUUAUUCAUGAUUUGCCCCUUGUUUGCGGUUUUUAUUUAAGCAAUUUUUAUCACUAAAAUUAGUCAUGCUUUCACACUAAAAACCUUUACAUGAUAG
rnacentral:lncRNA from 1 species